AAGGGCACCACAAGAACGCGUGGAGUGUGUGGCUUAAUUUGACUCAACGCGGGAAAUCUUACCGGGUCCGGACACAUUGAGGAUUGACAGGUGCCAGCUAUAAUAAAAUGUUUUUUUUAAAUUAUGCUUGCAUUUUUUAAAAAGAUAUAUUUAUAAUAGCAGUAAAUAUGCAAGUUCUUUCAUGAUUGUGUGAUAGGUGGUGCAUGGCCGUUCUUAGUUCGUGGAAUGAUUUGUCUGCUUAAUUGCGUUUCCAUAAACAUUUUACUAGCAAUGAUAUAAAUUAGAUUGUUAUUGGUGUAUAAUUAUUAUCAUUUUGCUAAAUAAUUUUUACAUUUUUCUUUAUUCUCUUAAUAAUGAAAUUUGUUAUACCUUUUUACAUUGUCUGAAAAUAUUUAAUUAGCCUAUAAUGCUUAAAACUUCUUAUUUCUGUAUCAUAGUACAAAUGUGGAAGGCAACGAACGUGACCG
rnacentral:rRNA from 1 species